UAACCCUAGAUUACUACCCUUCGUCGAUUCGACGACGCGUCACCAAAAAAAUCGCUAUAACUUUUACGCGUGCGACCGUAUGGUUUUCUGACUUCAGCUAAUCUCAGCCAACCCGUUGCGCUUGCGAUGGACGGUAGUGCUUUGUGCGUGGAAGGUCCACACGCGGUGUUCCAGCAGCCAUGGCUCGUCACAUCGACGAAGAUACGAUUCAUAUGUUAGUUUUAGAAGUUGAAAGCGAUGAGGAAAAUUCAUCUGCGAGAGAGCCUGAAGACCACAUUGAGGCUGAAGAGGCAUGAAACGGAGGGUGAUGAUGAAGUUUCUACUGUAAAUAAAGAGCAAUUUCCAGAUCAAGAUUAUGAGGCAAGUAGUAAUACAUCUCCCCACGUUCUAUUGAAGAUGAGAUACCUAGCACUUCAGCUGACCCUAGCGAUUACAAGACCAUCGCAUACCAUUCUUCUUGGGAAAGACAAACACAUAUUAUGGUCAUCACAACAGUCAAGGCCACAAAGCAGAAGACCUUCAAAGAACAUAGAUACAUAGCACGUGGACCUGUGUGUGACGCUUUUUUCGAGAUAUUUUAGAUCCUCUUCAAUGUUUUUCAGGUAUAAUUACUGGUGACAUUACUGAUACUCUUUGGGACUCAAUUACAUAAAUUUUAAACAUGCCAGAAAUAAAUAAUGUGAAAGUUAUAAAUGAGACUGAGCAAAGUAAUGCUGCUAAUGUGCCUCCAUAGCAAACUAAAAUAAACAUAUAUGCUAUAUUAUGUCCCUCCGUAAAGCAAAGGUAGACCUAAAAAUAGGUGCACUAGGUGCAAAAAUCGUUGUGUGGGGAACACAAACUUGAUGUGUGUCACAAAUGUUUUAGAUCCUAAGCUAUUAUCAAAAUUAUAUUUUUAAUUAAUUUUCCAGAUAUUAUUUUUGUAAGUAAUACUUUAUUUCGAGCAAUUUAGAGGUAUAUAUUAUUUGUACGGAAUUUUUCAAAAAAAUUAAGAAUGUUCAUAAAGCGUGUAAACUGUGAUCUCAUUUUGAUGACUGUUUGAAUUAAAACUAUGUUAAAAUAAAUAUUUUUAUAUUUUUAUAUGUAGAUUAAUACCUUGUCCUUAAAAUAAAGACAUAACUACAAAUAUAUUUUUUUAAUUAAACCCCUAAAUCCCCUCCAAUAAACAGCGUAGUCGAAACGACGAAGGUUAGUAUUAAACGUUGAAAAAUAAGGUUAGUGUUCUAGGGUUAAUUAUAUUAAAU